rnacentral:rRNA from 1 species
UUCCGGAGCUAACGCGUUAAGUCGACCGCCUGGGGAGUACGGCCGCAAGGUUAAAACUCAAAUGAAUUGACGGGGGCCCGCACAAGCGGUGGAGCAUGUGGUUUAAUUCGAUGCAACGCGAAGAACCUUACCUGGUCUUGACAUCCACGGAAGUUUUCAGAGAUGAGAAUGUGCCUUCGGGAACCGUGAGACAGGUGCUGCAUGGCUGUCGUCAGCUCGUGUUGUGAAAUGUUGGGUUAAGUCCCGCAACGAGCGCAACCCUUAUCCUUUGUUGCCAGCGGUCCGGCCGGGAACUCAAAGGAGACUGCCAGUGAUAAACUGGAGGAAGGUGGGGAUGACGUCAAGUCAUCAUGGCCCUUACGACCAGGGCUACACACGUGCUACAAUGGCGCAUACAAAGAGAAGCGACCUCGCGAGAGCAAGCGGACCUCAUAAAGUGCGUCGUAGUCCGGAUUGGAGUCUGCAACUCGACUCCAUGAAGUCGGAAUCGCUAGUAAUCGUGGAUCAGAAUGCCACGGUGAAUACGUUCCCGGGCCUUGUACACACCGCCCGUCACACCAUGGGAGUGGGUUGCAAAAGAAGUAGGUAGCUUAACCUUCGGGAGGGCGCUUACCACUUUGUGAUUCAUGACUGGGGUGAAGUCGUAACAAGGUAACCGUAGGGGAACCUGCGGUUGGAUCACCUCCUU